ACCACCACCACCGCCACCGCCACUGUCACUCCUCAUUCACAAGGCACCAGUACUCCAGGAGAUUUCAUUGCAGGUGAAAGGGUUUUGUGGAAAAACAUAAUCCCCAAUAGUUCAGAUCAGAUUGCAUUGUGGGUAAUGAAUAGAUUGCUAAUUGGGCGUCUCUGUAGGUAGAACAAUAUUGAAAGAAUUAUGCGGGUGACAUCUCCAAUUUGGGAAGAAGAAACUGGGGAAACUGCUAGUGAAGACUCCGAUGACAGGGUCACUACUAAGAAGAGUAGCAUGGGCAAGAAGAUGGCACAUGUUAAGGCUAUAGCUUCAGUGGGACUCUACAAGGCCAAGGUGGUUGCAGUUGGGGGAGCCCGCAAGUUCAAGACAGGUAUCUCUACUGGAAUCAAGUGGAUCAAGAAUCAAUACAGAAAAAAAUUCUCUUCCGAAUCCAAAUGAAUCGGCACAUUUCACAUUCUGUAGACUUGUUAUUGAAUUUCAAUAACCACAAGCAUUAUUUUUUCUUUCUUCA